rnacentral:rRNA from 1 species
AUGCACGCCAUGUGGCACAAGAACGGCAAUACCUUGCCGGUGAUGGUCAAUGGUCGGCAGACAGGCAGCAAAAAGGUUCUGGUGCUGCACACCAACAAGAACUUCGACCAUUCCCGCAAAAAAAAGAACUUAGACCAGCAGAGGACCAACUGGGUGAUGCACAAGUACCACCUCGGGGACCUGGAGCGGGAGCUGUACCUUGUCGUCCGCAAGUUGGUAUUGUUGUUAACGAUCUUUCGAAUUCUCUCGUUUAUUGAGCAGGCCCAGCCCAUGACGACAACGGGGCACAAAGAUCCAUCAGCAGGUAUCUACUGGCCUCUGGACCGCCAGCGUUAG